rnacentral:rRNA from 1 species
ACGUAGGAGACGAGCGUUAUCCGGAUUUACUGGGCGUAAAGCGUGUGCAGGCGGUUCGGCAAGUUGGAUGUGAAGUCUCUCGGCUCAACUGGGAGAGGUCGUUCAAAACUACCGAACUUGAGGUCAUCAGAGGAAAAUGGAAUUCCCGGUGUAGUGGUGAAAUGCGUAGAUAUCGGGAGGAACACCAGUGGCGAAAGCGGUUUUCUGGGAUGAUCCUGACGCUCAGACACGAAAGCUAGGGGAGCAAACGGGAUUAGAGACCCCGGUAGUCCUAGCUGUAAACGAUGUAGACUUGGCGUCGGAGGGUUCAAAACCUUCGGUGUCGUAGCUAACGCGAUAGGUCUACCGCCUGGGGACUACGGCCGCAAGGUUA